CAAAAGUCUGGUCCAUACAAAUUGAUUGCUGCAGCAUCAAGUUUUAAAAUUCGUUUUGAAGAAUAUUUUUGACGGUUUUUAUUGGCCGAAAGCAAAAACAUUUCAGUUUACCUGUGGACCUGUGGAAAAGGGCACCCAAACCACAUGAAAAACUGAGUUCCUAGGGCAAGUUCCUGACCAAAAUGCAUUUUCUUGCUAGUUCCACAAAAUUUUUAAAGUACCAUAACAUUUCGAAAACUGAGCUAG
rnacentral:sRNA from 1 species